rnacentral:rRNA from 1 species
AGUGGCGGACGGGUGAGUAACGCGUAAGAAUCUAACUUCAGGACGGGGACAACAGUGGGAAACGACUGCUAAUACCCGAUGUGCCGCAAGGUGAAACCUAAUUGGCCUGAAGAAGAGCUUGCGUCUGAUUAGCUAGUUGGUGGGGUAAGAGCCUACCAAGGCGACGAUCAGUAGCUGGUCUGAGAGGAUGAGCAGCCACACUGGGACUGAGACACGGCCCAGACUCCUACGGGAGGCAGCAGUGGGGAAUUUUCCGCGAUGGGCGAAAGCCUGACGGAGCAACGCCGCGUGAGGGAGGAAGGUCUUUGGAUUGUAAACCUCUUUUCUCAAGGAAGAAGUUCUGACGGUACUUGAGGAAUCAGCCUCGGCUAACUCCGUGCCAGCAGCCGCGGUAAUACGGGGGAGGCAAGCGUUAUCCGGAAUUAUUGGGCGUAAAGCGUCCGCAGGUGGUCAGCCAAGUCUGCUGUCAAAUCAGGUUGCUUAACGACCUAAAGGCGGUGGAAACUGGCAGACUAGAGAUCAGUAGGGGUAGCAGGAAUUCCCAGUGUAGCGGUGAAAUGCGUAGAGAUUGGGAAGAACAUCGGUGGCGAAAGCGUGCUACUGGGCUGUAUCUGACACUCAGGGACGAAAGCUAGGGGAGCGAAAGGGAUUAGAUACCCCUGUAGUCCUAGCCGUAAACGAUGGAUACUAGG